GACGAAUGCUUGCUGCGUGCUUAACACAUGCAAGUCGAACGGUGAAGGAGGGCUUGCCCUCCGGAUCAGUGGCGAACGGGUGAGUAACACGUGGGCAACCUGCCCCUCACUCUGGGAUAACGCCGGGAAACCGGCGCUAAUACCGGAUACGACCAGGCGCGACAUCUCGCCUGGUGGAAAGAAUUUCGGUGAGGGAUGGGCCCGCGGCCUAUCAGCUAGUUGGUGGGGUAACGGCCCACCAAGGCGACGACGGGUAGCCGGCCUGAGAGGGCGACCGGCCACACUGGGACUGAGACACGGCCCAGACUCCUACGGGAGGCUGCAGUGGGGAAUAUUGCGCAAUGGGCGAAAGCCUGACGCAGCGACGCAGCGUGAGGGACGAAGGCCUUCGGGUUGUAAACCUCUUUCAGCGGGGACGAAGCGAAAGUGACGGUACCCGCAGAAGAAGCACCGGCUAACUACGUGCCAGCAGCCGCUGUAAAAC
rnacentral:rRNA from 1 species